UACGUAGGGUGCGAGCGUUACUCGGAAUUACUGGGCGUAAAGUGUGCGCAGGCGGCCGAGCAAGUCGAGUGUGAAAGCCCCGGGCUUAACUUGGGAAUUGCGCUCGAAACUACUUGGCUGGAGUGUGGCAGAGGAAGGUGGAAUUCCACGUGUAGCGGUGAAAUGCGCAGAGAUGUGGAGGAACACCAAUGGCGAAGGCAGCCUUCUGGGCCAACACUGACGCUCAUGCACGAAAGCGUGGGGAGCAAACAGG
rnacentral:rRNA from 1 species